rnacentral:misc_RNA from 1 species
UCCGAGUUGACCCCGGCAGUCUCCUAUGAGUGCUCAGCAUUACCUGGUGGCAACAUAGGACGAGGGUUGCGCUCGUUGCGGGACUUAACCCAACAUGUCACCACACGAGCUGACGACAGCCAUGCAGCACCUGUCACUCUGUCGUAUUGCUACGAAGGCCGUAUCUCUACGGAUGUCAGAGGAUGUCAAACCCAGGUAAGGUUCUUCGCGUUGCUUCGAAUUAAACCACAUGAUCCACCGCUUGUGCGGGCCCCCGUCAAUCCCUUUGAGUUUUAGUCUUGCGACCGUACUUCCCAGGCGGGGUACUUAGUGCGUUAGCGCCGGUUCGGCAGGGGUCAAGACCUACCAAACCUAGUACCCAUCGUUUACGGCGUGGACUAC